rnacentral:miRNA from 1 species
GGGGAGCACAGAGAGCAGGGAGCCUUCCUCAGAGGUGUCAGGCCUUGUUCCUGUCCCCAUUCCUCAGAG